rnacentral:lncRNA from 1 species
CUUAGACUUUUUUUUUCUUUUUCAAAUUCAGAUGGUGAGAACUGGUCUGAAUGUACAAUUCAGUCUUACUGUUUUCCAUCAAGGUGUCACCAAUCUUCCAGUCUCCCAGGCAGAAGUUUUUGAGAGCUUCAACCAGCACUACUACUUGAGGACCUAUGCAGUGUUUGUCCAUGAGCAUGGAAUGACUCAUACUGGCCUCAGAGUUAGGGACUCACUUUAAAGGAAAGGGGAUGCAGUAGUGGGCACAUGACUAAGAAAUCCACCGAUCCUCUCAUAUACUGCACCACCAGAAGCUGCUGGAUUAGCAGAGCAAAGGCAAAGAUUGACCAGACCAAGCCCUGAGACACAGUGUUGAGAGCCAAGACAUAAAGUUGUGAAGAUUCAGACCCAGAGCCCAGCAGGGCACAGGCUGGAGGGGUGAUGUGAGUGAUCAGUAACACCAUGAAGACUCUGCUCCUGGGUCAGGAAUGCUUUUUUGUCCCUGUUUUUGGAUUUUCCACCAUGAUCAGCCAAUGCAGAAAGAAAUCUAAAGGUGAAGGAAAGGCAGCGUUCAGCACUGAGCAAGUCCAUGUUGGAGAAAGUUCACAGGGAAUUGGAAAUCCUUGUCUUCGUGGUUCCUGGCUCAGCAGGACCCCUGUGGGGCCUCUCCCUCUCUUGGGAAAGAGAUUGCUCUAGAAGGUUUACUACACCAGUGAGGAGAAGAUGAGCGCAAGGGGGAUUGGCCGGCUGAGGGCGAAAUCAAGACUGGAGCCAAGUGCGCUGAGCUCUCACAUGAGGUCCUUUGCUCCUGUUCCCUGGAGGCAUAAGUGGCUGGGGUAGAGAGAAGCAGGGGUAUUUCUUCUGUCCUUUCUUGCUUAGGGAUUGGGGGUGGAAAUCUCCCCGCAUCUAAGGAAAUUUGAAAAGACAAACUAUGGCUGCUUCUUCAAGCAAACCACCUCACCACACUAUCCAGGGGAUAAAACCCGCUUGCUGCUGCUAAAUUAUGCCAAGAGAGAACAUUCUGAUAUUUCUCCUCAAUUCUAGGCAUGACAGCGUGACUUGGUGCUUAAAGGCAUGGAGUUUUGAGUUGCAGACCUAGGUUUGAGUGCUGAAUCUACUAGCUUCAGGGUGUUAAAAAAGUUUCUUAAUCUCUCUAAACCUUAUUUUUCUCAAAGAUAAAAAACUGGGUGUAGUUGUGAGUAUAGUGAAUGCACAUAGUAUGUGCCUUUGGCAUGUUAAUUCACUAUUAUUCUGGACAUAAUUUCUCCUAAGAAAAAGGAUGAACUAAUUGCAGGGCCUAGCCUAAGCUCUGAGAAGUCAUUCGUUAUAGCAUUUCAGUCCAUAGUAAACAAGAAGAAAUGAGGUAAAGAGUUUAAACCAGGGAAGGCAUAGCUGUGGUCACCAAACAACCUGUUAAAGGCGAGCUGUAGGCACCAAAAAACCUAUUAUGGACUGAAUUGUGUUCCUCAAAUUCAUAUGUUGAAGUGCUAACCCCAAGUACCAAAUGUGACUGUAUUUGGGGAUAGGGUCCCUGAAGAAGUCACUCAGCUGGAAGGAGUCAUAUUGGAUUAGGUGUUGGGAAUUGGCUGGCCAAGGGAGAAAUCAAGGCUGGAACCAAGUGCUGAACUCUCACAUCAGGUCCUUUGCUCCUGUUCCCUGGACCCUAAUCCAAUAUGACUGGCAUCUUUAUAUGAAGAGGAAGAGGCACCAGAGGGUACACACGCAGAGAAAAGGCCAUGUGUGGACACAGUAAGAUGACGGACAUCUGUAAGCCAAGGAGGGAAACCUCAGAAGAAACCAGCCUUGCCUGCACCUUGAUCUUGGAGGUCCAGUCUCCAGAACUGUGAAAAAAAUGAACUGGUGUUGUUUAAAUCCCCCAGUCGUGGUAUUUUGUCAUGGUGGCCCUAGAAGACAAUAUACAACCCAAAGGAAUAUUCUUUCCACUUUCUCCCUCUUCCACUUUAUAGUUUUUUCUCCUUCGUUUCUUUCUUUUUCUCUUUUACUUUCCUUUUCUUCUCUUCUCUUUCCUCUGGUUUUUAAUUUUAAUUUUAAUUUUUGGCCUUCCUAUACCUCCAUUUGCCUCUCCAGGAAGCUGAAUUCCAGACAAUUAAUCAUUCAUCUCAUCAGUUCAGCAAAGCAAAUGCCCUCAAUGGUUUCUUUUGUGAUUCGAUUAUUAUGGGAUCAGAAUGUAUCUUAUUCCUCUGGGAAAAAUGAAACAUAAAAAUUUCAGAAAUAAGGUUUUGGGCCAGCUUCAUUGGUUUUAAGAGAAGGAAGGGAGGAGACUCAUGCAGGUUUGACGCUGAGCAGCACCAUGUGGUUGGGCCUGGCAGGCACUCGAGGCUUUAGGUCUUGGUUUGAAUCCAGACUAGAAAAUCAUUACUUAUUAAAAGCCUUGAGGAUAUGGGUCUAGGAAAGUCUAUGUGAAGAGAUAAUAGUUUGGAAAAAGUUUUGCAGAACUAAAGAAAAGUUUCCACAGUUACCUUUUCUGUCCUAAUGUAGAGCAUCUUUGUUAACUAGGUCUUGGAUCAAUCCAAGCUGUGUCUGAGAAUAACCAUUUAUAAUUUCUCACUGGCCAGCACUAACACCCUUUAGAAAAGGAACUCAAAGCAGCCCUAGCAGCCAGAGUCAUGCGAUCAUGGUGGGAGUACAGCUCCUCACCAAGGUCAGCUCCUCAGUGAAAUCCAUGCCUUCUGGAGGACUGCUUGUAAAUAAAUAUUAAGCACAACCAUUAAAAAAUAAUUUGGCUGUGACCAUCAAAUAGUGAAAGAGUGUAUCAAUUUCAUUAUUAUAUAAGCAUACAUGACCAAAUUCAGCUAGAGUGGAGUCUUGGCUCAAGUACCAAGCUUGGAUUUCCCCAAGGAACACUUUCCCAUAAUUCAUAAUGAAAAUCUUUCCAUUUACUGUGGUUCAACUAUUUGCAGAAUUUUCAGGCUGGGCUCAGUGGCCCUAAAUUUAUGCAUGCUGGUAUACUGAGAAGAUCACCAUGUUACAGAGGCUCUUCUCUCCCAGUUUACUCCUGGAGUCUAUUUAAUUUGCAGCUCUAACUCUGCGUUCCCAGGAUUGCAUCAGUUGGACUUUCCUCACAUCUCAGCAGCCGCAGUUGGGUUGAAAUGAGAUACUCCCAUCUCUGGUCACUGUGCUCUGGCCCUCCAGGACAUUCCUCUCACCCGCUGCCCACAGCAUAGCUGCUGAGAGUCCUCUGCCCAGGAGUCCCAAGUGAGAGGACAGUCUUGACUCUGCCUGCCCCCCUUUAGUGACAUCCUUCAGGGAUUCCUCAGUUCAUUCAUUUCCUAGGGCUGCUGAAACAAGUUACCCCAAACUGCGCAGCUUAAAACAAUACAAAUAUUAUGCUUUCAAAGUCUGAGAGUCAAGAAGUUGAAACUCAUGGUGUUGCCAGGACCAUGCUCCCUCUGAAGGAAGGAGAAGAGUCCUUCCUUGCCUCUUCCUAGAUUCUGGUGGCUCCUGGCAUUGUGGCUGUAUCUCUCCAGUCCCUGCCUCUGUCAUCACACGGCCAUCUUUCUUCUUUUUUUUGAGAUGGAGUCUUGCUCUGUGGCCCAGGCUGGAGUGCAGUGGCGCGAUCUCAGCUCACUGCAACUUUCGCCUCCCGGGCUCAAGCGAUUCUCCUGCCUCAGCCUCCUGAGUAGCUGGGAUUACAGGCGCGCGCCACCAGGACCUGCUAAAUUUUUGUAUUUUUAGUAGAGACGGGGUUUCACCAUGUUGGUCAGGCUGGUCUCGAACACCUGACCUCGUGAUCCAUCUGCCUCAGCCUCCCAAAGUGCUGGGAUUACAGGCGUGAGCCACUGCGCCCAGCCGUCUCUUUCUUCUUAUAAGAACACCAGUCAUUGGGUUUAGGGUCCAUCCUAAUCCAGUAUGACCUCAUCCUAACCUAACUAAUUAUAUCUACAAAGACCCUAUUUUCAAAUAAGGUAGCAAUCUGAGGGUUCCAGGUGGACAUGAAUUGAGUGAGGAGGGGAGGGGCACUUUUUAACCCAGUAUACUCAGGGACCUUGCUGACCCUGCCUCUCUGCUCACACACACCAUACAGGGUCACCUGGUGGUGACUGCUAAAAGUAACAAGCUACCAUUUGUCUUGGAUUCCAAACCAAUUCAGAAGAACCCUGGGAGCCGCAUGACUAUGAAGAACUAUUUCUCACCAUGGAAAUUACAGCAGAACAUUCACUGGGAUCGUUGUUUGUUAUGAAACAGAGAUGCACUGUAAGAAGGACUUGACCUGUUGUUCCUGACAUUGAAGAUGGAUGGAGACACCAGGAACCAAGGAAUGAGGAUGGCUUCUGGAAGGUGGAAAAAGCAAGGAAACAUUCUCCCCCAGACCCUCCAGAAAGGAACUCAGCCCUGCUGACAUCUUUGUUUUUCUUUUCUCUUUUGAGUAGAGAUGAGGUCUCCCUAUGUUGUGGAGGCUGGUCUCGAACUCCUGGGCUCAAGUGAUCAUCCUGCUUCGACCUCCCAAAGUGCUGGGAUUACAGGUGUGAGCCACAGCACCUGGCCUCCUAUGGACAUCUUAAUUUUAGUCCAGUGAGAUUCAUAUUUGAAUUUCUGACCUACAGAACCACAAGGCAAUAACUUUGUGUUGUUUUAAGAUGCUGAAUUUUUGGUUUUUUGUUACGGCAGCCCAAGAAAAGAAAUAUAGCAUUGUAUUACAUCAAAAAAAAUGUCUACCUUUUCAGUGGAAUUUGCACUGUACAAUGUUUAGGCACAAUGCUCAGGGGUU